UUAUUGCCUAAUUAUUUUUCCUUGAUUUGCGUCAUGUCUGAAUAAUUCCAUUGUUCCUUGUAUGGCAAUUCCCUUAUCAGUUUUCGACCUAUAUAACGGCCCUGUAUCCCUCAUGAUAUUCAUAAGUUCAUCGACAGCCACUGCGUAAACAAGUGCUUCCAGAUCAAGACUGUGACCAAGCUCCUCCAAAGCAAAGACCCGAACAUCAACGUCCGCUCUCUGCUCUGCUGAAUCGUGACUCCUGAAUAAGACUCUACAAGAUGCAAAAUCUCAUGCUGCUCUGUAUGGCUAUGUUCCUGGCGGCGGAUGCGAGGCCAGAACCCGGGACGAAGUUGCCCUGCAAUCCAAGACAAUACACCGAUCCCACGAGGUCCCGCUCAAAAGAGGAACCACCGGAAGCACACCAAAAGGUUGUCAAGAUUCCAGGGAUCCUGUCGACCCGAAUAGGAUUCCUUGACGGCCCAAAUCUGAAUCAACGUUGGCCCUUUGAAUAUAGAGUUGUUGUGCCUGACCGUGCUUAAGAUUUUCGUUAUGUAUUCACGCUGUAAACAACCGAGUAGUUGAUAAGUUUUCUUAUUGCAAUGCUUCUUUUUCUUCACUUUUUAAAAUAAAGAUUAUUGCGCAAUAUUUCUUGGUAUCAUUGACGUAGAAUAAGCUGACGCAACGUCCAGUAGGUAUCCCAACUCACCUGUAUACCUGGCUGAGCUUAGGUCACGAUCGGUCUGCUAGGCUGAAUGGAAUGUGCAUCGGACCGACGUGCAGAUGUAGGCUUCACGCUGCAACUCGUGCAACGCGGUUACCCUAGGACUUAAGAUCGUUUCAAGAUAGAGCUUUGUCUCCUGAUUUCAACAUGCACUGAUGACUGCAGUGGUGAGCUCGAUGGUGCAGCCGCAAGACUAUCUUGUACGGAGCUCAAAAAGUUAGUAUGUUAAAACGUAUGCACGUAGUCUUCGAUUAUUAACAAGAUUAGGUACAAACUACUCCAGUUUAAAAACAAACGGUAUGAUAACAUUCAUUCGAUUAGGUAUACCUAUGCCAAAAUUCCAUUUAUGGCCGGCGUGUACAGGAAAUCCAUUCAAUUUAGGCAUAACAGUUGACGCAGUAACAUGAUCGCAAUAUGACUAAAUGUUAUUAUCGCUUAUUCACCUAUAUUUUUUUCCUGGAUUGUUACCUCAUUAUUAUAGCAUUUACGUCAUCGGUU